ensembl:lncRNA
CUGGGACAUGUAGUUUUUAUGAUACUCGCCUUUUCAUUGGUUUCAAUAUGACCUUUCACUUGUCACGUGGUUUAAAAACUUGAUGGAGGUGGCGCGGAAACUUGUCUGCCGCAUGCUUUGAUUUUUAUUCAAUUUUUCUUUUGUAAUUAACUUGUUUGGAUAAAACACUGCGAUCUGUUAUGAGUGGGUUGGAGGUGAAGUUUAUUGGGGAUAAGGAUGUCCUGGAGCACAUCGUGGACAAACAGGAGGGGACACAAGCCAGCAGUAGGGCUGUCCAGAAGAUGGUCACUUUCAAGAGUCCCGCGGGGAGACGCAACAAAGACCAGAAUGGUGAAGAAAAUGUGGAUGAGAACGGGCAACUGAACGAAAAUUAUAUACAGGCUUUAGCAGCAGAAG